GUAGCCCUGCCGGUUACUUCGCAAUUGUAUUCUACAAACCCCGCCAGGACCGGAAGGUAGCAACGGUAGUAGAAAUAUGAUGUGCCGAAGGUUUGCUGGUAGGGU
rnacentral:SRP_RNA from 1 species